UUCUUAUCCAGAGAGGCAGAGGGACUGGCCCUAUGAAGCCUCAGCAACCGGUUCAAAACGAGUAAAAGUUUACCAGUAGUUAAACCAUGCAUACUGAUUAGAA
rnacentral:ncRNA from 1 species